rnacentral:rRNA from 1 species
GCCAGUAGCCUUACUGGCCUGAGAAUACCCCUCUCUUUUGAUCUCAGAAACCAAGCAGGGUCGGGUGUGGUUAAUACUUGGAUGGGAGACUGCCUGGCAAUACUGAACCCUGUAGGCU